UACGGAGGGGGCGAGCGUUAUUCGGAAUUAUUGGGCGUAAAGGGCGCGUAGGCGGCAUGGUAAGUCAAAGGUGAAAUCCCUCGGCUCAACUGAGGAAUAGCCUUUGAAACUGCCAAGCUUGAGGCCGGGAGGGGGUAGCGGAAUUCCCAGUGUAGCGGUGAAAUGCGUAGAUACUGGGAGGAACACCGGUGGCGAAGGCGGCUACCUGGACCGGAUCUGACGCUGAUGCGCGAAAGCGUGGGGAGCAAACAGG
rnacentral:rRNA from 1 species